UUUUUAUUUGGGGGGGGGGUGGGGAUGACGUCAAGUCAUCAUGCCCCCUUACGACCGGGGCUACACACGUGUUACAAGGGGUAAACAAAAAGAAAGGGACCUCGCGAGAGCAACAAAUCUUCAAAAAAUAGUUCCAGUUCCGGAUUGGAGUUGCAAACCGCCUACCAGAAAGUGGAAAUGCUUGUUAUUGCGGGUCAGAAUUGCGCGGGGAAUACGUUCCCGGGCCUUGUACCCCCCCCCCGUCCCCCCCUGGGAGUUGGGAACCCCAGAAAUCGGUGAGCUAACCGCAAGGACCAGCCGCCGAAGUCAUAAUUCAUGACUGGGGGAAGUCUAACCCCUAGCCUGGCC
rnacentral:rRNA from 1 species